GUCCGAGUGCUGGAAUUGGUAGACAGGACGAACUUAAGCUUCGUUGAUAUAACAUCGUAGAGGUUCAAGUCCUCUUUCGGAUA
rnacentral:tRNA from 1 species